GAUGAACGCUGGCGGCGUGCUUAACACAUGCAAGUCGAACGGGAUCCAGGCAGCUUGCUGCCUGGUGAGAGUGGCGAACGGGUGAGUAAUGCGUGACCGACCUGCCCCAUACACCGGAAUAGCUCCUGGAAACGGGUGGUAAUGCCGGAUGCCCCGACUCCUCGCAUGGGGUGUCGGGAAAGAUUUCAUCGGUAUGGGAUGGGGUCGCGUCCUAUCAGGUAGUCGGCGGGGUAACGGCCCACCGAGCCUACGACGGGUAGCCGGCCUGAGAGGGCGACCGGCCACAUUGGGACUGAGAUACGGCCCAGACUCCUACGGGAGGCAGCAGUGGGGAAUAUUGCACAAUGGGCGCAAGCCUGAUGCAGCGACGCCGCGUGCGGGAUGACGGCCUUCGGGUUGUAAACCGCUUUUGAUCGGGAGCAAGCCU
rnacentral:rRNA from 1 species